rnacentral:rRNA from 1 species
AGCGAACGCUGGCGGCGGGCCUAACACAUGUAAGUCGAACGAUCCUUCGGGAUAGUGGCGGACGGGUGAGUAACACGUGGGAACGUGCCCUUUGGUUCGGAAUAACUCAGGGAAACUUGAGCUAAUACCGGAUGUGCCCUUCGGGGGAAAGAUUUAUCGCCAUUGGAGCGGCCCGCGUUGGAUUAGCUAGUUGGUGAGGUAAUGGCUCACCAAGGCGACGAUCAGUAGCUGGUCUGAGAGGAUGGCCAGCCACACUGGGACUGAGACACGGCCCAGACUCCUACGGGAGGCAGCAGUGGGGAAUAUUGGACAAUGGGCGCAAGCCUGAUCCAGCCAUGCCGCGUGAGUGAUGAAGGCCUUAGGGUUGUAAAGCUCUUUCGCCAGGGACGAUAAUGACGGUACCUGGAUAAGAAGCCCCGGCUAACUUCGUGCCAGCCGCCGCAGUAAUAC